rnacentral:rRNA from 1 species
GACAGAGGGGGCAAGCGUUGCUCGGAAUUACUGGGCGUAAAGGGCGCGUAGGCGGAAUGGCAAGUCGGUCGUGAAAUCCUUCGGCUCAACCGAAGAACGUCGAUCGAAACUGCCGUUCUUGAGGAUUGCAGAGGAGACUGGAAUUCCCGGUGUAGCGGUGAAAUGUGUAGAGAUCGGGAGGAACACCAGUGGCGAAGGCGGCUUCCUGGGCUAAUACUGACACUGAGGUGCGAAAGCGUGGGGAGCAAACAGG